rnacentral:rRNA from 1 species
CGCAAGGGGAGUGGCAGACGGGUGAGUAACACGUGGGAACCUUCCCUAUAGUACGGAAUAGCCCAGGGAAACUUGGAGUAAUACCGUAUACGCCCGAAAGGGGAAAGAAUUUCGCUAUAGGAUGGGCCCGCGUAGGAUUAGCUAGUUGGUGAGGUAACGGCUCACCAAGGCGACGAUCCUUAGCUGGUUUGAGAGAACGACCAGCCACACUGGGACUGAGACACGGCCCAGACUCCUACGGGAGGCAGCAGUGGGGAAUAUUGGACAAUGGGCGCAAGCCUGAUCCAGCCAUGCCGCGUGAGUGAUGAAGGCCUUAGGG